rnacentral:lncRNA from 1 species
CCUUUUAGUGCCAGUUGAUUCAAGGGCAUAACUCACUAAUAUAUCAGCUGAAAAGGGAUGACACCAAUUGGUUUAAAAUUAGAUCAGAUGUAGAGAAUAUCCAAUCUGGAUUUCCAAAUGGUCUGUAAAGAAGGGUAACCCAACAUUGCUAGAAAGGUCCAGAAGUAUUCAUUUUGAGUCACCUAGAGUUUUCAUAUCACACAUUCAAGCAACACACACUAGUUUCAUAUUUGAUGGAAAGUGCAAAAUAUAUGUGGAGCUUCAAGAACCCAGAAUAUAAGUCCGCUCAUUCAAUUGUUUAUGAUAAAAUAUGAAUGCGGGUACAGCACAGCACCCUCUUGUCUCGUUAUUAUUAUUAUUAUUUUUUCCCCACUUCACCCUAUAAGGAGUCCUAUCGAGGAAGCAAGUUAUUUGUUAAUCUUACACAUAACAUAGCUCUGCAUCAUAAAAACUAGUAUCUGACAACUAAAGCAUAUAUAUUUGUAUAGCGUAUAUUAUACUCGAACUUUACACCCAAUUUGCUCCUCAUCCCAAACUCAUUUUGUUUGCUGCAAUUGCUAUAGCAAACCCUUUCGGCUAUCCUGCAACAUCAAUCGAUUUGAAAAAGAUUAGAGUCAGAUUAAGUUUAUCAAAUCUGAAUCAUCUCCAGAUCAAGCAAGCAAGUUUAAACUGUAAUCGGCCUUUUAAAAAUCCUUUCUGACUGAGGACCUUUCACAGAGUGGACUAGAAAUGUGCCCGCGCUUUGCUGCGGGUCAGUCCUACAUUCACAUUUGUCUUCUCGCCUGGGAGAACUCAUGCAGGAUGUAUAUACAUCAGCAGCUUCAUUCUUCUCAACUUCAGUGUUCGGUUCUACCUCCCUAUUUUUACAAAUUUAAGGCUUUAUUUAUGCAAAUAUAGGUUUAACUCUGCAGGUAUCUCCGAAACUUCAAGCUGCUCGUAAUAUCCUUCCGCAACUUGAAAUCAAUAUGACAAACCUAUAAAGUCAAAAAUGUGCUAAUCAAAGGGAAAAAAAAUCAUUUUAUGAAAGCACAACACUGCUUUGAAAGUACAAAUGGAAUGUUCAGCAAUCAUACAUGUAUAACUAAAGUUGAAAACAGAAGCAAGAAACACAAAUAUGGUAACAGCCUAUGUACCUGUUACAUAUACAAUAAAAUGAAAAUUAAUUUUUCAGAUGUCAACCGACAUAAGGAGUAUUGCAUCUUUAUUUGUAAACAACAAAAGCUAUAAUUCUCAUGAUCAUCCACCAUCUUUGUCUCUGUCACCUACGAUCCAUGUUCCACUAAAGAAGAAAAAGAAAGAUAGCUCGAAGUAUUUGCUGACUCAAGGUAUUUGCAUAAUCACAUAUAUAAAUGCAUAGUUCAAUCAGAGAUGCCUAAUCCAUGUACUCGAAAUGAUGCAAAUUCCAGACCUGAGAAUGAUUGAAAAUAGAUCAAUGUUUUAUUUAUAGGCCUGUAUAGAGUGGUAUAUGAUUAACAGUACAUGUAUUAGCUGGAAAAAAGGUAUUAAACUCCGACACCAAUGUAUCUACUAAUGUCGAUAAUGUUUACGGUUUAUGAAAAGAGAGCACUUCAAACAUGUAUCACAUAUUUAGAUGCGUUGACAAUGCAAAUAAAUAAUGCGGACUAUAAAAAUUGUUGCCUUGUACCACUGAUGACUAUAAUAUAGUGAUAUAUGUGGUACCUAAUCUAGCAUUUUGACCAAAGCCGGCUAAAUCUUUUUCUAUGUUUACAUAAGGAAGCAAAAGAAUGAGGUAUGUUAAGCUCUUCUAUACAAGCAAAAGAAUUACUGAAAUAAUGAAUUUCUUUUUGAGUUCUACGGCUUUCGGAUCCUUUACUACUGUUAUCUUCCAAUUCCUGCUCCAAUUGUGUGAGUGUAAGAUGGAAAGCCCCAAUUGAUAUCAGUUACAAAUUGGAUGAAAUGGUGAGAUAAUACUGAUGUAACAGUAUAAUGUAAAUUAAUACUAAAAAAGACAUAACAUAUUUAGGAACAAAAUAUUAAGGAAUGUACAGCAAACAGUGAGCAAUAUUGUAGCCAAUUUUUUNNNNNNNNNNNNNNNNNNNNACAGAUUAGUAUUAGAGGAGGGGUGGCCAGUGUGAGGAAUAAACCUUUACAAUCAAAUUCAUAUUAUAUCGCUGAUAAGUUGGAUGAAAAAUAUAUCUUCAUAAUACAAAUUCCAUUUUAAUAAAGUAGCAUUGGUUUAUCACUCUAACUUAUACUACACAAAAGGCACAGAUUAUAACUUUAACAAUAAAUUUGACUGAAGACAUGAAACGACAUUUACUGCAUAAACCAAAUGCCAACCAAAAACUUACCAACUACACAAACAUUAACUCGAAACAAAAUUCAUGAUAAAAGAACAUUUUUCAAAAAUUAACUAUCAAUUUCUAACCAUUAAUAGUCACAACAUAAUUCAUGACCAAGUUCAAGAUAGUUAUAAAACUUUACAGCAAACAACACAACAAUCCUGGAAAACGAAAUGGAAGUGUUCAACCCAUUUACACAGAUUUUAUAUCUACAGUUUAAGUUAAUAAACUUGGUAUCUUGCUAUUAUUCUAUCCUCUUGCAGGUGAAAUGGGUAUUAGUAUAUGAGCCAAACUAUUGGAAGGAAUAAUUAAAAAUGGGAAGCAGUCCAUGCGAUCUAUUGUAAUUUAAACUUUAUAAACUGUACUAAAUAUUAGAUCAUAUGAAUGAAAUAUGUUUCAAAAACAUGAAUGAAGAACAUAUACUUCAUUAAUGUUGUUAAUGACUCAUUAGGAAUCUAUCUAAUCACUAUCUUUGUCCUGGCCCCAGAAAAAAGAACAACCACCAGCUUUGUUCUUACUUUGUUAUUUGGAUUUAACAACCGAACAUAUAAGUUAGUGGAGGAAAGCUAAAGCUGAUCGAUGAGCUAAUAUAUGUAUAACAGAGAGUAGAAGAAAGUGCCAGAUUGGUAAGACAUAUAUAUAACAGAGAAAAACAGACUCGUGGCUCAUAUCAGAUGAGUGAUGCUUAAAGGCCUCACUGAUUUUAGGGUCGUUUUAGACACCAUUCUUGUUAUUUUGCAGAGAGAUGGACACAAACUCUAUCAGUAAAAGCAUCAAUCAAUUGCUUAAAUCGUUUAGAGAAGAGAAAAACUAUAAACAUGAAUUGAAGAUCAAUCACCCAGAAUAACCCAUAAAUACACACUGCACAAAUCUAUGUCAUGAGUUGAAGAGUGGAUGAAGAUGCUAACCUGGAAUUCUUGGAGCCGAUAUCAAGCUAGGAUUUGGAUUAUUGAACUUACUACGCACACCUACAAUUUAUAAAUAAAAACCCAGACAAAUCCAUCCUCUUCUCCUUUCUCCUCUCCUCUCUCUCCUCGAUCGUUGUGAAAAUCUCUGGAAUUGCUCUCUCUGAAAAUGAAGUAGGUUUCAAGAUCAAAUUUAAUCGAUUACAGAAAAUAAAAACUAUAAACAUGAAAACCACCAUGAAAUCUGAAAACCAAUCUUCAAAUCUGGAAACGAAUUGGAUAUGGUUACUUACCAUGAAUUGGAUUCGGUUACUCACCCUUUAUAGAUACACAAACCCAGACAAAUCCCUCCUCUCCUUUCUCCUCCUCUCUGGAAUUUCUUGCUGAAUGGAAGACCAAGAAAGAUAGUCGAUGAUCUUGUCGAAAUUGGUAUCUGAAAGAUGUUGUCGGUGCUCUCUUCUAAUAAUAAUCAGCAGUUGUCGAGAUAAGAUACUAACCAGAUUGAGCUAUACCGAUAUACAUGCACCGAUAGGAUUCUGCUUCUAUUGAAGAUUGUGGGAGAUUGAGGUGGUGGGGAAAUAUUGGGCGAGAGAGGAAGAAGAAUCUAGAGAAAUAAAGAAGAAGCCUGCAGAGAGUUUAAGAAUAGUAUAUAGGUUAAAUUUGCUUUUAACAAAUCUAAAUGCACUUUUUAUUUAGAAAAUACAGUAGUAUCAAGUAUUUAACCUCAUACUUUAAGUAAUAAUAAUCAUAAUACAAUUAUAAUGUAAAUUUAUUGAUAUAAAGCUCGUAUAAAGUAGAAGAUCUAAAAACUACAUAUGGACAAGAUUAGUAUGGAAUUUGGACAAUCAUAAAUCUAGUGAAAGUCUGAAAUAUAUGUCACCACACAUUUCAUAUAUUGAAAAUCUGGAUUAUUUUUGUGCUUGUUUAUCU